AGAGUUUGAUCAUGGCUCAGGAUGAACGCUGCCGGCGUGCUUAACACAUGCAAGUCGAACGGUGAAGCAGGAGCUUGCUCCUGUGGAUCAGUGGCGAACGGGUGAGUAACACGUGAGCAAUCUGCCCUGGACUCUGGGAUAAGCGUUGGAAACGACGUCUAAUACCGGAUACGAGACGCGAAGGCAUCUUCAGCGUCUGGAAAGAACUUCGGUCCAGGAUGAGCUCGCGGCCUAUCAGGUAGUUGGUGAGGUAACGGCCCACCAAGCCUACGACGGGUAGCCGGCCUGAGAGGGUAACCGGCCACACUGGGACUGAGACACGGCCCAGACUCCUACGGGAGGCAGCAGUGGGGAAUAUUGCACAAUGGGCGCAAGCCUGAUGCAGCAACGCCGCGUGAGGGACGACGGCCUUCGGGUUGUAAACCUCUUUUAGCAGGGAAGAAGCGAAAGUGACGGUACCUGCAGAAAAAGCACCGGCUAACUACGUGCCAGCAGCCGCGGUAAUACGUAGGGUGCAAGCGUUAUCCGGAAUUAUUGGGCGUAAAGAGCUCGUAGGCGGUCUGUCGCGUCUGCUGUGAAAACCCGAGGCUCAACCUCGGGCCUGCAGUGGGUACGGGCAGACUAGAGUGCGGUAGGGGAGAUUGGAAUUCCUGGUGUAGCGGUGGAAUGCGCAGAUAUCAGGAGGAACACCGAUGGCGAAGGCAGAUCUCUGGGCCGUAACUGACGCUGAGGAGCGAAAGCGUGGGGAGCGAACAGGAUUAGAUACCCUAGUAGUCC
rnacentral:rRNA from 1 species